GUGGUCUAAACCACUGAGGCUCUUGGGCUUGCUGAUCAGAAGGUCGGCGGUUUGAAUCCCCACAAUGGGGUGAGCUCCCAUUGCUCUGUCCCAGCUCCUGCUGACCUAGCAGUUUGAAAGCAUGGCAGUGCAAGUAGAUAAAUAGGUACCACUGCGGCAGGAAGGUAAAUGGUGCCACGGUCCUCCGUGCACCAGUAUCAGUUGAAUCAUGCUGGCCACAUGACCUGGAAAGCAGUCUGUGGACAAACACUGGCUCUGUGUCUGAAGCGAGAUGAGCGUUGCACCCCAUAGUUGCUUUUGAGUGUACUUAGCUGUUCAGGGGUCCUUUAGCUUUAUUUUUUUACAAUAGAAUACUAAAUAGUAAAAUUAGCUAAAAUUAUCUACAGUAGGAAGAAUAGGGUGCAUCCUGAAAACCACAACAUAACUAAGCUGUCAAAGAGGUUACCAAAAGCUAUAGAAGAAAGGAGCAAGACACACCCCUCUGCAAGGAGGGGAUUCCACAGUUUAGGAGCUGCCGCAGAGAAUUUCCUCUCCCAAACUGCCACCCUGCUGAAAUGCCACCACUGUUAUCUUAACACACAAGAGGAUCUGUGAGUAAGAAAUAGUCUUUCAAAUAUUUCAGAGCACGGUGUUGGCAAAACCAUGUCAUGUACAGCCAAGUAUCUUUUACAUUUACUGAACUGGCUUUGGCAAUUAGUCUUUCUCUUCUCCUUCUGUUUUUUCUUUCUUUCUUUUUUCCCCCAUUCUCAGGGCAGCUUCCAUGGAGCAUAGAGUCUUAUUCAAAUUGUCUGCUGAAGGGUUACCAACAGAUGGAAAAUAGCGGCUUUCCUGAAAUCAGUGCUGAAAAGUCCUGCGCUUGUACUGGGCACCGGAUUCGUUUCUUGAAUGCAUGGAUAAUAUUUGACUGAGAGGCAUGAUUUGUAAAGCAAAAAUAGGAUUUUCACACCAUAAGCUGCACCACAGGGAUUUCAACUUUAAUCUUCAAUUCUGAUAAGCUACUUCUGGCAAACAUGUAGCUGUAUUUUUCCCUGUGACUCCUAAUUCCUUUGUAUUAACAGAUUACAUACCAUUUUAUCAUGGCUCCUAUUAUCUAGGCAUUUCAUUUACCAUUAAAGUUUAUGUAGUAAUAUACUGGGGGAUUUCAGAACCUUACAAAUCACUUACAUGGUCCAGCUACAAUUUUCACAGAAAGCUUUGGCGGACUGAGCUGUAAUAACAUGUAUCGGGCAGGAUAGGACAGCAUCCAGCACUGCUGUUCCUUGAACUCUUGGAUACUUGGAAAGGUUAGCAAAAAUAUCACUGUGGCUAAGUUAUAAUAAAUUACAGCAUUUAAGGUUGCUGUUCCAGAGGAAAGCAAUGUGUUACCAAAUGCUCAAAUGUGGCUAUUAAAGAACUAUUAUGGCAAUUCAAUUUUUGCUGGUGUUGAUCUUUCAAACAGGCUAUACUAUUUGUAACAAAUCCAGAAAGUCGGUAGUUUUUAAUUCUUUUACGGGGGAAAAAACCCAUCCAUCUACUUUCUAAUGUUUUGAUAUUGCCAACAAUACAAUUUUCAGUAUUGAGAAUAAUUUGCCAUUUUGUCAUUUCUUCCUAACUAAGUUAAUGGGCAGUAGAAAGGUGGUUAAGAUUAAAUAUACCGGUAAGUGAUUGUAAAUUAAUUGAAAGAGAGAGAGAAACUAGGGCUGUGUCUUAUGUUUCUGUGACCCCCAAACCUCUGUGAAACAAUAGGCCAGAAGAAAUAUUUAAGGUCAGCUGUGGAGACCUCAGGUCUUGAGGCUGUUUUGUUGGCUGAAAACAAGAAAUUUAUAAUUUGCCAGAGGGCCUUGUCAGCAAUAGCAUCUCAGCUGUGGAACAUACUCUUUGAUCAGCUUUGAUGGGCACCUUCAUUGUCCAUCAAUCAGCACCAGCUAAAUAGCAUCCUCUUCUACUAGGCCUCAUGAGCUGAUGGUGUAUGGGCAUACUGGACAUUGGGCAACAUGGCCAUGCUAUUUGUAUUAUAUUUAAUGUAUGUAUUAGUGACUAAUAUUUUUACAUUGUACUUUUGUAUUUUGACUUUAUUGGCUAUUAUAUUUUUUAAAAAAAACACUUUGUGACCCACUCUGAGAUUAAUUGUGAUGAAGUGCAGGAUAUACGUUUUAUAAGUAAACAAAUACAUACAUAAAAAUAAAAUAAAAUAAUAAAUCAUAUGCAUACCUACCUGGGAGAACGUCCCAUCAAACCCUGUAAGAAUGAGUUAUGGGUAACAGUGCAGAGUUGUACGGUUAGUAUCUAAUUUUUCACAUUGCUUAUUCCAAGGAAUGGGAGGAAAACUAGCAAAGGAGUGCAUCAUGGUUUCUGGCUUUUCCCCCAUCCUUACAUCUCUCCAAAAGAUCUACAGAUUAAAUACAUCAUCAUACUUUCCCUUUCAGACAAAAGACAUUUUCUUUAAAUUGGAAAUGUCAAACGCAGCCAGAGGAUGGAUUUCUAACUUCCUAUGCCAUUUUCCUUUUUUUGUAAUUUCCGACAUAAUAAUGGUGAAUCAUAGGCUUGUAGUAAGGUUUUAUCACUGUGUUUUCACAGUUGAUAGAAGGCUGGUCCUUAUCAAGGCCCGAUAACAGAUCAGCCUAAUAAUGCACCCACCUUUUUUUUUUGGACAACAUGUGAGAUGAAAAGGAUUAUCCAGUGUGCCUAUGUUGGUAUCAUCACUGUCGCAGUAGCUGAUUCUUAAAGUUUAUCUGUCUUUGUCUAUUAAAUGCAGUGGGACUAACAGUGUGAAGUGUAGAUAUCAAUAUUUACAGGCGAGAGGGAAAAUGUGGGGCUUUGAAAAUAAGCCCAAACUCUACAUCAGAUGUCAUGGGCUUUAGUCAAUGAAAUCUCGUGUCAUAAUAAAUCUGUUAGUCUUUAGAGUACCAAAAGUUAUAAUGUGUGUGUUUGGAACUAGCCAACUUGAUAACCUGAUAACCAACUGUAUGAAAGGGAUCAGGUAGUCAGGGAAACUGAUGUGAAUCAGAAAAAGGAAGUCAGAAAAUAACUGCUUUCAAUAUUCCAGAAUCUUUGAAGACACUUAAAAAAGCUUUGUUUCACUUUAUGCUGUAUGCCCUGGGCUGAGCUUAUGUUUAUUUUUAACCUUAUUGUAUUGCACAUAGAUUUGAAGUCAUCAUAAAGACCACCACCACCACCAUCAUCACUCAAAGCUAAUAGAUUAUCAUUUUCAUUAUGUUAGUGGAUGAUUAAAUAACAUGUUUACAUCUCUUGCAUUAUUUUACAAGACCCUUAACAUCUUGGAUCCAGGAUACCUCAAGGACCACCUGAUUCAUUAUAUCUGAUUCCUGAGGCCUUUCAGGAAGUCACAGUUAACACACCCUCCAAGUGUCCCUAUUUUCCAGGGACAUCCCUGAUUUAGAGAAGCUGUCCCAGUUUCUGAUUUGAUCCCGGAAUGUCCCACUUUUCCUUAGGAUGCCCUGAUUUUUAUUGGAGAAAUGUUGGAGGGUAUGGAGUUAUCCGACCCCUGAGCCAUCUGAAGGCAAUUCUGUAUAAGGAAUUUUUUUAAAAAAAUUUAAAAUGUUUUAUUAUGUUUUUAUAUGUGUUGGAAGCUGCCCUGGGUGGCUGGGGCAACCCAAUAAGAUGUGUGGGGUAUAAAUAGUAAAAUUAUCAUUAUGGAAUGGGCUGUCCCUAUUUUCAUCAGAUAAAUGUUGGAGGGUAUGAGUUAGUGGUCUCCUAUGGCUAAGACCUCCAUUGAGGUCAAACAGGCCCUCUCCUGUGCCUUGAGGGGUUUUGUAAAAAUAAAUAAAUAAAUAAAUUCCGGCAAACAUCUUACCUGAAUUCUGAUUUUACAGUUCUGAUCUUUAUAUUUUGUACUGAGUUAUUUGCACACUGUGUAGAGGCAAUUCUAAUUAGGUGGUAUAUAAAUAAAAUAAUAAAUAAUAAACCUCUCCCGUUGAAAGUAUAGGAUUCAAAGCAUGAUCCUACCCCUGAAAUGUUGGCUGGAGGCCAUCAGAUCCCAAAGAUCAGAAGGCAUCAAAACCAUCUUCUUUCUACCAUGCUUCAGGUUCCAUCCAGAGAAGGUAAGAUGCACAUAGGUCCUGCUGAAAUAAAGAGGUUAAUAUCUGACCAUUUAAUGAAGUCCCAUGACUUCAAUGAGAUUUAAACAUUAAUUAUUAUUUUUUUAUAAAAAGGUAAAGGUAAAGGACCCUGACAAUUAAGUCCAGUUGUGAACAACUCUGGGGUUGCGGCGCUCAUCUUGCUUGGCCAAGGGAGCCGACAUAUGUCUGCAGACAGUUUUUCCGGGUCAUGUGGCCAGCAUGACUAAGCUGCUUCUGGCGAAACCAGAGCAGCACACAGAAACGUUGUUUACCUUCCCACCACAGUGGUACCGAUUUAUCUACUUGCACUUUGACGUGCUUUUGACGUGCUUGGUCAGCAGGAGCUGGGACAGAGCAAUGGGAGCACCAAAUUUGCCAUUUUCAUAGCUGCUGCACAUUAGUUCAAUGUUUUCUUUGAGCGAUCCGCCACUAUCCCAAGGUCUCUUUCCUGCCCAGUUCCAGCCCCAUCAGUGCAGAUGUAAUGUUAAAAUUCUUCAUGUGUACUGUUUUGCAUUUACUUACACUGAACUGUAGUUGCUGUUUUAAAGCAUUGUCACAGCAUUUGGAGAGAUUCUUUUGGAGCUUCUCAGAAUAACGUUUUCAUUUUUAUCACCCUGAAUCUUUGACUGUCAUCAGCAAACCUGACCAUCUCACUGUUGUUGUUGUUUAGUCGUUUAGUCGUGUCCCCAUGGACCAGAGCAUGCCAGGCACUUCUGUCUUCCACUGCCUCCCACAGUUUGGUCAGACUCAUGUUUGUAGCUUCGAGAACACUGUCCAACCAUCUCAUCCUCUGCCAUCUCCUUCUCCUUGUGCCCUCCAUCUUUCCCAGCAUCAGGGUCUUUUCCAGGGAGUCUUCUCUUCUCAUGAGGUGGCCAAAGUAUUGGAGCCUCAGCUUCAGGAUCUGUCCUUCCAGUGAGCACUCAGGGCUAAUUUCCUUAAGAAUGGAUGCGUUUGAUCUUCUUGUAGUCCAUGGGACUCUCAAGAGUCUCCUCCAGCACCAUAAUUCAAAAGCAUCAAUUCUUCGGCGAUCAGCCUUCUUUAUGGUCCAACUCUCACUUCCAUACAUCACUACUGGGAAAACCAUGGCUUUAGCUAUACGGACCUUUGUUGGCAAGGUGAUGUCUCUGCUUUUUAAGAUGCUGUCUAGGUUUGCCAUCGCUUUUCUCCCAAGGAGCAGGCGUCUUUUAAUUUUGUGACUGCUGUCACCAUCUGCAGUGAUCAUGGAGCCCAAGAAAGUAAAAUCUCUCACUUCCUCCAUUUCUUCCCCUUCUAUUUGCCAGGAGGUGAUGGGCCCAGUGGCCAUGAUCUUCGUUUUUUUGAUGUUGAGCUUCAGACCAUCUCACUGCUCGCCCCCAAUUGCUACUUAGAGUAGGUGCACUCUAUAUCUCACAUCUCCAUGUGUAUUAUUUUACAUUUAGUUACACUGAACUGUAGUUGCUGUUUUAAAGCAUUGUCACACCAUUUGGAGAGAUUCUUUUGGAGCUUCUCAAAACAGCUUUUUCAUUUUUAUCACCCUGAAUAUUUGGCUGUCAUCAGCAAACCUGACUACCUCACUGCUCGCCCCCGAUUGCUACUUACAGUAGGUGCACUCUAUAAUCUCACAUCCUCAUGACUGUAAUGAGGAAAACCAUAUAAAUAUUAGCUCUGUAAUUCACCCUGUCUGAAGUGCAGGUUUCUGAAAGGAUUUAUAAUGCAGUAAGUUAGAUUCCCCACCCCUACCCCUUUUCCUUUGCUUAUGCUACCCUGGGCAGCUAGGGAAAGGGGAAGGGGAAGGGACCCCUGACAAUUAAGUCCAGUCAUGAAUGAUUCUGGGGUUGCGGCGCUCAUCUCGCUUUACUCUCCGAGGGAGCCGGCGUUUGUCCGCAGACAGCUUCCGGGUCAUGUGGCCAGCAUGACUGAGCCGCUUCUGGCGAAACCAGAGCAGUGCACAGAAAUACCAUUUACCUUCCCACUGGAGUGGUACCUAUUUAUCUACUUGCAUUUUUGGUGUGCUUUCAAACUGCUAGGUUAGCAGGAAGCAUACAAUAAGCUUAACCUACAGACCAGUCAAAAAUACUUGAUGAACCCAAUCCUAAGAAAGUCAGUUUUCAGGUAGGCAACAGUAUUUGAAAUUCUCUAAGUAAUCUUAAAGCAUCCUUUCCCCUCAGCUCGUUUGGUUCAAAUCUAGAUGAAGCACAUAUUAAGUAAUAGUAUUGAUUUAUUUUGACUUUUUUUUACAGUUUAUUAGCCACCACUGUUAAGCGGUUGUCCUGCACUUUGUUCUAUAGUUUUCCAUUACUUUUAUUCCCAGAAAUAAAACGAAACAUGGAUUUGUUGUGCAAGUUUGCUGCGGUGCCAUUGCUAUUUACUGCAAUGUGCCCACUUUAUUUAUAAGGUAUUAUGAAGGUGCACUCUUAUUGCAUGAGGGGCAUCUACCCAGCUCUUUCUAAAUGGGUGUCGGAUCUACACAGAAGUGUGACAGUUUAGAAUAAAAUAAAAAAAGGCCUGUUCUCAUGUUAUCACCCUCUGGACCUUGUGGAGAAGGUACAUGAAGAAGGGCCUCAGAUAAUGAUGUCAAAGUCUGGGUAGGUUCAUAUGGAAAGAGGCAGUCCUUGAGGUAUUGCAAUCCUAAGCCAUUUAAGGCUUUAUAGGUCAAAACCAGCACUUUGAAUUGGGCCCAGAAACUAAUUGGUAGCCAAUGCAGUCGGACCAGGAAUGUCAUAAUAUGCUCAAACCAUUUUGCCCCAAUGAGCAACUUGGCCACUAAAUUCUGCACUAGCUGAAAUUUCCAAACAAGCAUCAAUACUGAUUAUUUUUAUCUAGCAUAAUCUACUGUAAAUACUUUUAGCCCACUGGCUUGGAAGUAAUCCCCAUCAGAGGUAGAUUUAGGUGAGUGCUACAGGUUUGGUCGCACUGGGUGCAAAAUUCUGGGGUGCCACUAGGGACACUGCAACUAUGAUUUAGAAUGAAGAGGGUGUGUGUGUGCUGAAUUUUGGCAUCGCGCAGGGCACCACUGAAAUUUGAGACCCCAAAGUCUGCCACUAGCACCAUUGAAUUCAAUAGGACUUCUGAGUAGACCUGGUUCACAUUGUGCUGUUAAGUCCCGCAGUUUUCAAAACUUUCAAUUUUGAACACAAGAAGUCUGCUACUGUGUCCCCGUUGUACCAAUGGAAUUAAAAGCACACACCACCUUAAAGGAUGAAGGUUUGCUAUUAUGCAGCAGCUAACCAUGCUUUUAAUUUGACAACGCACAGUGUGCAGGCUUCCUUUCUUCUUAUUUAGAUGUUUUUCUCUUGUCAUUAGAAGCCAGCAAUGGACAUGAAUGCUUUGUAUAUAAUUAUAUAGCACUUAGAGGCACCAGAUCCUGCCAAGCCGUUAAAAUGAGACUUGCAACUUGAUCAGAAUAUGUAUCAGAUUUUAAACCAUGAUUAACUUUUAUUAACAAAGUAUUCAACAACAAGAAAUGGGACGAGAUUGUCCUAGUGAUAUGCUCGUGUAUUUUCUUUUCUGAAUCAUUUAUCCCCUUCUCUAAAAGUAAGAUGUUUGCUAUCAACUCAGUAAAACACCACAUUUUUCAGGGUGAUUACUUUUGAAUAAUGACUGGGAACAUGGUUCUGGAUUUAUCAGUCAGGUUUAUAGAGAAAAGAAGUGGGCAAGCACUGGGCCUGAUGGCAUCAGAAAUGAGUAAGGAUUAAUCUCAUAGCCUAUGUCAUCCUCCCAUUGUUUUUUGAUUAUGUCUACUGGAUUAAGGUUACCAGAUUUUUUUCAAUGAAUCCGGGGACACUUUUCAACUUCCUACUAAAUAGAUGGAUUUUGUCAGGGGACUGAUUUGUAAAUCUGGGGACUGUCCCCGGGAAACGGGGAUGUCUGGUAACCUUAUACUGGAGGGGCCUGUCAGGAGUAAGCAUAGACCAAUGGUAUCAAAUACAAUCGUACCUCGGGUUAAGAACUUAAUUCGUUCUGGAGGUCUGUUCUUAACCUGAGGUACCACUUUAGCUAAUGGGGCCUCCCACUGCCACCGCACCGCCACUGCGCAAUUUCUGUUCUCAUCCUGAAGCACAGUUCUUAACCCGAGGUACUAUUUCUGGGUUAGCGGAGUCUGUAACCUGAAGCGUCUGUAACCUGAAGUGUCUGUAACCCGAGGUACCACUGUAGUAUGGGAAACAGCCUUAUUAGAAAAACUAACCAACAAACUGAAACUGACACAGGGACAAAUAGAAGAAGACACCUUCACCCCGAUAUGGUUACCCUUUAUCACAUACACAGCCCAUCAAGACAACAAGAAGAACCCACCAACAGCAUUCGAAUCAAUCUGGCUAACCUGAUCCAAACACACACACACAUACCCCACACCCAAAAACAAAGCUCACCGCAGCCAAUCAAAGACAACCAACCACACCCUAGACCAACCCCAGCCUCUCUCACCACCAAAGAAAUACAACAAGCGAAUAGUAAAGAGAACCCACACAAGUGAGGCUGACGCAAAACCCCACACAUACACUAAGUAGAAUAGAAGUAUUGCCACCUCACUCACCGCUCGCCUCUUUCUCCCUCUUUCCCCCUUUUCUUCCUAACGUAACACUAAUGUCUUGACAAAUGAAACUGAUCUGUAGAAAAUGUAACUUGAAAAAAAGAGACAUUGCACAUACUUUUGUAAACCAAGAAAUCUUUAAUAAAAAUAUAUUUUUUAAAAAAGAAAUGAGUGAGGAGAACAGAAACAAAGGAUAAUAGUACACUGGAAGGUCCUUGCCGGUCACAAAGGAGUUUGGGUUUGGAGAGGUCCUUGCCGGUCACAAAGGAGUUUGGGUUUGGAGAGAGUUAAUGCAGGAUCUGUUUCAGGAGCAAAUGGGAAGGUGAUGAUGCAAACAGAGGUACUGUACAGUUAAGGUUUAUAUGAUCUGAAGAGAAACCAGAGUAAGGAUGAACAGUUAAGAAGUGAGAACCAGAAUGAGAUUCGAGACAUACCUGACUGUUUAUUUAUGCUACAACAGCUGCAAGGAUGCUGCUUGCCUAGAGCUGGAAAGACGACAAGGUCCCUACCAGAGUGGACUGGCAGACGAAACUAAUGGACUGUGCAGAGAUGGCAAGAAUGACUGGGAAAAUCAGAAAGCAGGAGGAUCAAAACUUCAAGAAAGAAUGGGAGAAAUUUAUUUUAUUUUUGACAGACCACUGUAAAUACUUGAACUUUUUGGCAGGUCUUAAAUAACUCUUGUAAUAUUACACAGUCUUUGGAUACAAUGGAGGAUUCUAAAAUUAGGAGGACUUGCAGUUGAAAAGUUUAACUAAAGAACCCAAGGAGGGGAAGAGGGAAGUCUAGAGAUUCGGAGGAAUCUUGUGUAAUUUUUAUUAUUUGUGAUUUUGAGUGUGA